rnacentral:rRNA from 1 species
UGGCUCAGGACGAACGCUGGCGGCGUGCCUAAUACAUGCAAGUCGAACGGUCUUUCUAUGGAAGCUUGCUUCCACUGAGAAGAUAGUGGCGAACGGGUGAGUAACACGUGGGUAACCUGCCCAUAAGAGGGGGGAUAACAUCCGGAAACGGGUGCUAAUACCGCAUAGUUUUCUUGAUCGCAUGAUCGGGAAAGGAAAGACGGCCUUUGUGCUGUCGCUUAUGGAUGGACCCGCGGCGUAUUAGUUAGUUGGUGAGGUAACGGCUCACCAAGACGAUGAUACGUAGCCGACCUGAGAGGGUGAUCGGCCACAUUGGGACUGAGACACGGCCCAAACUCCUACGGGAGGCAGCAGUAGGGAAUCUUCCGCAAUGGACGAAAGUCUGACGGAGCAACGCCGCGUGAGUGAAAGAAGGUUUUCGGAUCGUAAAACUCUGUUGUCAGAGAAGAACAAGUUGGAGAGUAACUGCUCCAGCCUUGACGGUAUCUGACCAGAAAGCCACGGCUAACUACGUGCCAGCCGCCGC